GGUGGACACAAAACACCUGCGUUCAAGUGGAUCAGACUGUUUAAAACGACAUAAACAGAUAUAAUGCGAUCCAGCGCAGAGUCCAGGAAACACUGUCUUAGCGCCGCUCUGUUACUGUGCGGGGUGGAGGCAGCUGUUGUUGGCACGGUGACUGUAAACAUGCGUCAGUUGUCAAACACGUGCCAUAAAAGCCUCAAUGUUUCAUAAGCAGCUCCCUUAAAAGAGAAGUGGCUCCGCAACAGCAGGCUCUGUGUUUACUGCUCUCUUCAAGGACACAUAAUACACGGUAUGUCUGUCUUUAUUCAUGCUGAUCAACAUUAUACUGACAUAAAACUUGAUCUAUAAUCCUUCUCUGUUUACACUUUAGAAGGUGACUCAUCCACAAUGGCAAAACACAGCGUUAGCCUUGUGCUUGCCAUAGUGCUGGCAUCAACCCUCUUCAUCCUCACUAUGGUGCUCUCUGCUCUGGCAGCACCGGGAAUACACCCUUUUUUGUCGAGCACCCGUAACAUUUCAGAUGAGUUUGUGACUCAGAUCACACCUUCAGGAUGGAC
ensembl:lncRNA